rnacentral:rRNA from 1 species
GAUGAACGCUGGCGGCGUGCCUAAUACAUGCAAGUCGAGCGAAUGGAUUAAGAGCUUGCUCUUAUGAAGUUAGCGGCGGACGGGUGAGUAACACGUGGGUAACCUGCCCAUAAGACUGGGAUAACUCCGGAAAACCGGGGCUAAUACCGGAUAACAUUUUGAACCGCAUGGUUCGAAAUUGAAAGGCGGCUUCGGCUGUCACUUAUGGAUGGACCCGCGUCGCAUUAGCUAGUUGGUGAGGUAACGGCUCACCAAGGCAACGAUGCGUAGCCGACCUGAGAGGGUGAUCGGCCACACUGGGACUGAGACACGGCCCAGACUCCUACGGGAGGCAGCAGUAGGGAAUCUUCCGCAAUGGACGAAAGUCUGACGGAGCAACGCCGCGUGAGUGAUGAAGGCUUUCGGGUCGUAAAACUCUGUUGUUAGGGAAGAACAAGUGCUAGUUGAAUAAGCUGACACCUUGACGGUACCUAACCAGAAAGCCACGGCUAACUACGUGCCAGCAGCCGCUGUA